GGGGAUUUAGCUCAGUGGUAGAGCGUUUGCCUAGCAAGCACAAAGCCCUGGGUUCGGUCCCCAGCUCUG
rnacentral:tRNA from 1 species